rnacentral:sRNA from 1 species
AUAAGGGACUUCAACUACUUCAACUGCACCACUGCAGUCGUGCAUGCGUAGUAAUAGAGCAAUACAUCCACGCCACUAAGGGAUAUAUAUCCCACCGGGCCUCUUCAUGUUCCAUGAAUGGCGGCCUAUCUGCCAAGUAUCUACCAACCUGCCUACAUAUAUAUAUCUAUAUGCAAGAACUAGCCCGAGUUCACUGAAAUAACACACAAAUAUUCCCUGCCUCUGUCUGUUCUUACUCCACUUAGCUCUAUCCCCAAAUCCUGAUUAUCUGGUGCACAUACAAACAAUAUAUAUAUAUUGGGAGGGGAAGAAAAACGU